GGGGGGGGCAAGCGUUGUUCGGAAUUACUGGGCGUAAAGGGCUCGUAGGUGGCCAACUAAGUCAGACGCGAAAUCCCUCGGCUUAACCGGGGAACUGCGUCUGAUACUGGAUGGCUUGAGUUUGGGAGAGGGACGCGGAAUUCCAGGUGUAGCGGUGAAAUGCGUAGAUAUCUGGAGGAACACCGGUGGCGAAGGCGGCGUCCUGGACCAACACUGACACUGAGGAGCGAAAGCCAGGGGAGCAAACGGGAUUAGAUACCCCGGUAGUCCUGGCCCUAAACGAUGAAUGCUUGGUGUGGCGGGUAUCGAUCCCUGCCGUGCCGAAGCWAACGCAUUAAGCAUUCCGCCUGGGGAGUACGGUCGCAAGG
rnacentral:rRNA from 1 species